UUGUAAUUUCCAGAAUCGACAGUUGUAAACUCAGUCUCACCUUUAGCUUACAAUGGGACCUUGUACAAUUUAGAAAGUAAAAUUAAAUUAUUUAAUCUUCUCUGUCACAAAUGUCUGGGUUUAGAAUUAUUUCUAUUCCAUUAACAUCUAGACAGAGCAUCCAUCCCCCUGUCUCAUUUCUUAUCACUUGGUUUGUUUAUACAAUUAGCUCCGGCUAAGUGGUUAAUGUUACAGAAAGG